rnacentral:rRNA from 1 species
CGGGGUGAGUAACGCGUGGAUAACCUGCCUCACACAGGGGGAUAACAGUUAGAAAUGACUGCUAAUACCGCAUAAGCGCACGGUACCGCAUGGUACAGUGUGAAAAACUCCGGUGGUGUGAGAUGGAUCCGCGUCUGAUUAGGUAGUUGGUGAGGUAACGGCCCACCAAGCCGACGAUCAGUAGCCGACCUGAGAGGGUGAUCGGCCACAUUGGGACUGAGACACGGCCCAA